rnacentral:rRNA from 1 species
AUGGAGGAUACCAGCAAAAUCUUGGAGAGGUUGAAUCUAGAGGAUGAUGAGGCGGAUGACCUAGUUUGGGAAGAUGAGAUCGAUAUUGAUGAGAUUAAACCGAAGUGGUUGGCACUUGGCCGGCUCUUGACAGGGAAGAGUUUCAGUCAGAGUGCAUUGAUAGGGGAUAUGAAAGCGGCGUGGAACCCUGCCCAGGCCGUUGUAUGGAGAAGAAUCAAUGCGAACCUGUUCUCGAUUCAAUUCAAUUGUCUUGGCGAUUGGAACAAGGCCAUGCACCAAGGGCCCUGGGACUUCCAUGGAUUUGCUCUAAUCAUGGCGGAGUAUGAUGGGUUUUCAAACCCUGAAAAAAUCAAGCUGGACAGAUUGAAGAUAUGGUGUCAAAUUCAUAAGUUGCCGGAUGGAGUGCUCAAAAGCAAGAGUGCUUUACAGAACCUUGCAAGCCGUAUUGGUAUGGUGGAGGAGGUUGUAACGCCCUCGAUGCGGCUAUAUCUCCCACGUGUCGAAGCACGACUUAGAGGCAUAACCGCAUUAAAAGCAAUGUCGCAAGUGAGGUAA